GGGCAGGCUGGCCCGCACACGGCCGGGGUCCGGCGUUCUGCUGGCAAAGUGGAAGGUCGGCGGUUCGACCCCGCCCCUGCCCACCA
rnacentral:tRNA from 1 species